rnacentral:rRNA from 1 species
UGGGGAAUCUUAGACAAUGGGGGAAACCCUGAUCUAGCCAUGCCGCGUGAGUGAUGAAGGCCUUAGGGUCGUAAAGCUCUUUCAACGGUGAAGAUAAUGACGGUAACCGUAGAAGAAGCCCCGGCUAACUCCGUGCCAGCAGCCGCGGUAAUACGGAGGGGGCUAGCGUUGUUCGGAAUUACUGGGCGUAAAGCGCGCGUAGGCGGGCUGUUAAGUCGGGGGUGAAAUCCCGGGGCUCAACCCCGGAACUGCCUUCGAUACUGGCAGCCUAGAGGACGGAAGAGGUCAGUGGAAUGGCGAGUGUAGAGGUGAAAUUCGUAGAUAUUCGCCGGAACACCAGUGGCGAAGGCGACUGACUGGUCCGUUUCUGACGCUGAGGUGCGAAAGCGUGGGGAGCAAACAGGAUUAGAUACCCCCGUAGUCC